CAACCCUGGGAACUUACCUAUACGUUGCUUCGGCGGGAAUAGACGGCCCCGUAAAACGGGCCGCCCCCGCCAGAGGACCCUUAACUCUGUUUCUUUUAAUGUAUCUUCUGAGUAAAACAAGCAAAUAAAUUAAAACUUUCAACAACGGAUCUCUUGGCUCUGGCAUCGAUGAAAAACGCAGCGAAAUGCGAUAAGUAAUGUGAAUUGCAGAAUUCAGUGAAUCAUCGAAUCUUUGAACGCACAUUGCGCCCGCCAGUAUUCUGGCGGGCAUGCCUGUUCGAGCGUCAUUACAACCCUCAGGCCCCCGGGCCUGGCGUUGGGGAUCGGCGGAGCCCCCCGUGGGCACACGCCGUCCCCCAAAUACAGUGGCGGUCCCGCCGCAGCUUCCAUCGCGUAAUAGCUAACACCUCGCGACUGGAGAGCGGCGCGGCCACGCCGUAAAACACCCAACUCUUCUGAAGUUGACCUCCAAUCAGGUAGGAAUACCCGC
rnacentral:rRNA from 1 species